rnacentral:rRNA from 1 species
CGGUAAUACGUAGGUGGCAAGCGUUAUCCGGAUUUACUGGGUGUAAAGGGAGCGUAGGCGGGACUUUAAGUCAGAUGUGAAAUACCGUGGCUCAACCACGGAGCUGCAUUUGAAACUGAAGUUCUUGAGUGUCGGAGAGGUAAGUGGAAUUCCUAGUGUAGCGGUGAAAUGCGUAGAUAUUAGGAGGAACACCAGUGGCGAAGGCGACUUACUGGACGAUAACUGACGCUGAGGCUCGAAAGUGUGGGGAGCAAACAGGAUUAGAUACCCUGGUAGUCCACACUGUAAACGAUGGAUACUAGGUGUAGGAGGUAUCGACUCCUUCUGUGCCGCAGUUAACACAAUAAGUAUCACACCUGGGGAGUACGAACGCAAGUUUGAA